rnacentral:rRNA from 1 species
CAGCCGCCACGGGAAUACGAAGGGUGCAAGCGUUAUCCGGAUUUAUUGGGUUUAAAGGGUGCGUAGGUGGCCUGUUAAGUCAGGGGUGAAAGACGGUAGCUUAACUAUCGCAGUGCCCUUGAUACUGAUGGGCUUGAAUGAACUAGAGGUAGGCGGAAUGUGACAAGUAGCGGUGAAAUGCAUAGAUAUGUCACAGAACACCAAUUGCGAAGGCAGCUUACUAUGGUUUUAUUGACACUGAGGCACGAAAGCGUGGGGAUCAAACAGGAUUAGAUACCCCCGUAGUCCCUGUCUCUUAUAC